GGAACGAACGCUGGCGGCAUGCCUAAUACAUGCAAGUCGAACGAACACUUCGGUGUUAGUGGCGCACGGGUGCGUAACGCGUGGGAAUCUGCCCUUGGGUUCGGAAUAACAGUUGGAAACGACUGCUAAUACCGGAUGAUAUCGAAAGAUCAAAGAUUUAUCGCCCAGGGAUGAGCCCGCGUAGGAUUAGCUAGUUGGUGAGGUAAAGGCUCACCAAGGCGACGAUCCUUAGCUGGUCUGAGAGGAUGAUCAGUCACACUGGAACUGAGACACGGUCCAGACUCCUACGGGAGGCAGCAGUGGGGAAUAUUGGACAAUGGGCGAAAGCCUGAUCCAGCCAUGCCGCGUGUGUGAAGAAGGUCUUCGGAUUGUAAAGCACUUUAAGUGGGAGGAAGGUUGUAACCUAAUACGUUGCAACUUUGACGUUACGACAGAAUAAGCACCGGCUAACUUCGUGCCAGCAGCCGC
rnacentral:rRNA from 1 species